rnacentral:rRNA from 1 species
ACACAUGCAAGUCGAGCGGAGACAGUGAGUAGCUUGCUAUGAGCUGUUUUAGCGGCGGACGGGUGAGUAACGCGUGAGCAACCUUUCCCAGACAGGGGAAUAACACACCGAAAGGUGUACUAAUACCGCAUAAGACCACGGGAUCACAUGGUUCUGAGGUAAAAGAUUUAUCGGUUUGGGGUGGGUUCGCGUCCGAUUAGGUAGUUGGUGAGGUAACGGCUCACCAAGCCGACGAUCGGUAGCCGACCUGAGAGGGUGAUCGGCCACAUUGGGACUGAGACACGGCCCAAACUCCUACGGGAGGCAGCAGUGGGGAAUAUUGGGCAAUGGGGGAAACCCUGACCCAGCAACGCCGCGUGGAGGAAGAAGGUUUUCGGAUCGUAAACUCCUGUCCUUGGAGACGAGUAGAAGACGGUAUCCAAGGAGGAAGCCCCGGCUAACUACGUGCCAGCAGCCGCGGUAAUACGUAGGGGGCAAGCGUUGUCCGGAAUAAUUGGGCGUAAAGGGCGCGUAGGCGGCUCGGUAAGUCUGGAGUGAAAGUCCUGCUUUUAAGGUGGGAAUUGCUUUGGAUACUGUCGGGCUUGAGUGCAGGAGAGGUUAGUGGAAUUCCCGGUGUAGCGGUGAAAUGCGUAGAGAUUGGGAGGAACACCAGUGGCGAAGGCGACUAACUGGACUGUAACUGACGCUGAGGCGCGAAAGUGUGGGGAGCAAACAGGAUUAGUUACCCUGGUAGUCCACACUGUAAACGAUGAAUGCUAGGUGUAGGGGGUAUCGACCCCUUCU